rnacentral:piRNA from 1 species
UGAGACAUUCGUCACAGGCCAGAAAGUACU